rnacentral:other from 1 species
CGCCCCCUGCGGUGUCCGAGUGCAGGCCCAGAAAUCGCUUGAGCCUAACAUCUAGCCCUAGGGAACUGGAAUUGGGGUUGUUGAGCAGGUCCGCGCCGACGGCGGAAAGCCUGAUACCCCGGGCGAAGUUCCCCCAUGAACCGACUGGUUCAAGGGUCGCGGCCUGGCACGGCAUUGCGGAGGGCGU